rnacentral:rRNA from 1 species
CCUACGGGGGGCUGCAGUAGGGAAUUUUCCACAAUGGACGAAAGUCUGAUGGAGCAACGCCGCGUGCAGGAUGAAUGCCUUCGGGUUGUAAACUGCUUUUAUAUGUGACGAAUAUGACGGUAGCAUAUGAAUAAGGAUCGGCUAAUUCCGUGCCAGCAGCCGCGGUCAUACGGAAGAUCCAAGCGUUAUCCGGAAUUACUGGGCGUAAAGAGUUGCGUAGGUGGCAUAGUAAGUAGGUAGUGAAAGCCUGGGGCUCAACCCUUUAAACAUUAUCU